rnacentral:lncRNA from 1 species
UUCAAAUACAACCAUAGGAAAUAGACCUAUUUGCAAUAUCCAACAUGCCAACACCAAUAUAAUCCACAUACAUUUUCAACUUCGAAGAACGUUCCUUUCAAUAUUAUGAAAUCUCCUUAGCUUACUCCAAUACUAAAUCAACGUACAAAUCCCACUCUAAUAAUUAGCAGCAAAACCAAAAGUAUGAUCACAUCAAAACCCACAUCAAAUUUGAACUUUUAAAUCAUUUAAAUAAUAUCUGAACAUGGUAUACUCGAUAUGCCAUUGUUGACCUACACUUAUCUUAGGUCAAACCUCUUUUUUUAUCAUGAUCAAAGACAAUUUAUACUUUCUUUCCACACUCAUCGAAAACCAAACCCGAUGCAUACAUUUUAUCACAAUGCCCAGUAAUCUUACACCUUAAGCACUGAAUUUAAUUAUCAUGUCCCAAGUGAUCAUAACCUUAAGCUAUGAUAUAUUUCUAUCACAAUCCCUAGUGUUCUUAAACAUAUGCUCAGAUUCCAAUUUGUCACAUUUUCCAAUAAUCUUAAACCUCAAAUUUUAAUGCCACUAAGGCCACAGUCCCUAGUGGUCUUAAACCUUAGAUUAUAAUAUCAUUCCUGUUACAAUCUCAAAUGAUUAUAAACCAAGACUCUGAUAGUUUUUCUAUCAUAAUUCUCCACUCACACUCACCUGAACAUAAACCCUGGGAUACCUAAACCUGG